GUGGGGAAUAUUGCACAAUGGGCGCAAGCCUGAUGCAGCCAUGCCGCGUGUAUGAAGAAGGCCUUCGGGUUGUAAAGUACUUUCAGCGAGGAGGAAGGCAUUAAGGUUAAUAACCUUAGUGAUUGACGUUACUCGCAGAAGAAGCACCGGCUAACUCCGUGCCAGCAGCCGCGGUAAUACGGAGGGUGCAAGCGUUAAUCGGAAUUACUGGGCGUAAAGCGAACGCAGGCGGUUUGUUAAGUCAGAUGUGAAAUCCCCGGGCUCAACCUGGGAACUGCAUGUGAAACUGGCAAGCUUGAGUCUCGUAGAGGGGGGUAGAAUUCCAGGUGUAGCGGUGAAAUGCGUAGAGAUCUGGAGGAAUACCGGUGGCGAAGGCGGCCCCCUGGACGAAGACUGACGCUCAGGUGCGAAAGCGUGGGGAGCAAACAGGAUUAGAUACCCCGGUAGUCC
rnacentral:rRNA from 1 species